rnacentral:rRNA from 1 species
AGCAGCCGCGGUAAUUCCAGCUCCAAUAGCGUAUAUUAAAGUUGUUGCAGUUAAAAAGCUCGUAGUUGAAUUUCGGGAUUGACACAUCGGUCGUGCCUUAAGGGGUAUGAACUGGUGUAGUCAAUUUCUCACCUUCUGGAGAACCGCGAUGCCCUUAAUUGGGUGUCACGGGGAACCAGGACCUUUACUUUGAAAAAUUAGAGUGUUUAAAGCAGGCAUUUUGCUUGAAUACAUUAGCAUGGAAUAAUAAAAUAGGACGGCAUGAUUCUAUUUUGUUGGUUUCUAGGAUCACCGUAAUGAUUAAUAGGGAUAGUUGGGGGCAUUAGUAUUCAAUUGUCAGAGGUGAAAUUCUUGGAUUUAUUGAAGACUAACUACUGCGAAAGCAUUUGCCAAGGAUGUUUUCAUUAAUCAAGAACGAAAGUUAGGGGAUCGAAGACGAUCAGAUACCGUCGUAGUCUUAACCAUAAACUAUGCCGACUAGGAAUCAGACGAUGUUAAUUUUUA